rnacentral:rRNA from 1 species
UACGAAGGGGGCUAGCGUUGCUCGGAAUUACUGGGCGUAAAGGGCGCGUAGGCGGCCUGUUAAGUCGAACGUGAAAUCCCCGGGCUCAACCCGGGAACUGCGUCCGAUACUGGCAGGCUUGAAUUCGGGAGAGGGAUGUGGAAUUCCAGGUGUAGCGGUGAAAUGCGUAGAUAUCUGGAGGAACACCGGUGGCGAAGGCGGCAUCCUGGACCGAUAUUGACGCUGAUGCGCGAAAGCCAGGGGAGCAAACGGG